CUAAGAAUAUUCCGCAAUGGACGGAAGUCUGACGGAGCGACGCCGCGUGGAUGAAGAAGGCCGAAAGGUUGUAAAGUUCUUUUGCUAGGGGAGAAUAAGUGAGGGAGGGAAUGCCCUCAUGAUGACAAGGACUAGCGAAUAAGCCCCGGCUAACUCCGUGCCAGCAGCCGCGGUAAUACGGGGGGUGCAAGCGUUGUUCGGAAUUAUUGGGCGUAAAGCGUUCGUAGGCGGCAUAUCAAGUCUGGUGUUAAAGCCCGGAGCUCAACUCCGGAUCGGCACUGGAUACUGGUAAGCUAGAAUGAGGUAGAGGUAAUGGGAAUUCCUGGUGUAGCGGUGAAAUGCGUAGAUAUCAGGAGGAACACCGGUGGCGUAAGCGCAUUACUGGUCCAUUAUUGACGCUGAGGCACGAAAGCGUGGGGAGCAAACA
rnacentral:rRNA from 1 species